AAGAGAGAAAAAAAGGAAAGAAGGAAGGAAAGAAGGAAGGAAGGAAGGAAGGAAGGAAGGAAGGAAGGAAGGAAAGAAGGAAGGAGAGACAGAGACAGACAGAGAGAGACAGACAGAGGGAGAGACAGAGAUAGACAGAGAGAUAUUGAGAGAGGGAAAGGGGAAGAUAGGAAGGAAGGAAGGAAGGAAGGAAGGAAGGAAGGAAGGAAGGAAGGAAGGAAGGAAGGAAGGAAGGAAGGAAGGAAGGAAGGAAGGAAGGAAGGAAGGAAGGAAGGAAGGAAGGAAGGAAGGAAGGAAGGAAGGAAGGAAGGAAGUCCUAGUUGUGUCUCUAAUUUAUUAGGUAAAUUUGGGCAA
rnacentral:lncRNA from 1 species